UCAUCUUACACAUCCCCAAAUACAAAAGAGAUAUGAAGAACUUGUCCUUCAAGUUUGCUUUCGUAGUUGCACUCCUCGUUUCUGUAGCUGGUAACUGCAUUAUUUCGCUAUCUAAUAUAUAUUUGUGCGGAUUAAGAUUGGUGCAGUGUGUGCAAAACAAUAUUGAUAUUGUGGAAUUAUUUUGUAGUAUUUGUUUGAAAUUAAAAAAAAAAAAAUUCUAAAAUCAUCGUACUUUUUCACAUCUCAAGACACUUGAAUCACUUUCCAACGUGUGGUUAUUUAGCGUACUUCUUGAAUGGUGGCAUGGUUUUUUUGGAAAAAUAUUUUGAUAGCUAUCUUUGACAAUAAUACAAAUAAAAAGAUAUCUUUUCCAGUACUUUUAAGAAAACAUGCGAGGGGAAAGCAUUUUUUACCAAAAGUUUUUUCAAAAUUCAUGAAUAAUGAUGGUAUUAUUAUAGCUAUACUUCAAAUUAGGGGCAGGCCAGAAAAUUUUUCAAGAAUCAUAAGGGUUUGGGUUGACAUAUUACCUCUUGUCAUGCAGAUUUUAUGCGUAGUCCCCUUGCAUUUACAAUUUUGACAUUAUUGCCUACCCAAGAUUACAGGGUUAACUAGUCCAUUACAGUCCUCCUUGUUGACCCUGUCAAUUUUAUUGAGUUUAUGUUGUAGACUUGUAGCCAAAUCCAUGUUUUUGGUUUCUUCAUUGUAGGCCCAGUCGAGCCAAAAUCAUGGUUCCGCCAGGCUUUUAGUUUAGCGUAGUUAAUUGAUUAUUGAUGCAGGUCUGCAGUUUGGAGCUGAAGCAAGGAAUUUAUCUCACCCAUGUAGCUCAAAUGCUGAUUGUGAUCCUUCUCGGUGUCAUUGUGACUUAAACCAAAAACUGUGUAUUUGCAAUGGCGCAGAAAAAGAGUCGAUUGUUCAAGCCUUGAACAUUGGGCAUAAUGGAUCACCAUGAUUUUGUAAUAGAAGUGCCUAUAUGUGUGUGUGUGUGUGUAUCUGUGCUGCG
rnacentral:lncRNA from 1 species